CGAUAUGAAGCCCAGUGUUACUGUACCAAGCAGUAAACAGCACCCAAAUUACCAUGUGGAGAUGACAUACCAUGUGUCACAUAUACAGCGUUUUACCCGUUUGCACAGCUCUCUGCGUGGGAGAAACAGACACCAGAAGCCGCACACACACAGAAGGGGGUCUGGAACAUUGUGUGUGUAGACACGCAGUUCAGGUGUUAAUGUGAACUGGUGCAUCUAAUUGCUUCAGCCUGAGCCCCCUGAGCCCUGGGAUGGGGAUUCAGGAAGGGGGGGAGGUGCUGGGCGAGCGGUGAGGACAGGAUGGGAAGAGGAGGUGCUGAGAAUGGUAAUACCAUCCCCGACUCACCCGCUCUCCCUCCCCCAGCUGCACUGCAGAAGUCGUAGCCGAGGCCUCCGCCAUGCUGUCACGUGAGCGGGACGGCGAUGACGUCACCGCUCCCCGGAUGAGCCGUCAGCCCGCUGCGGUUGCCAUAGCGACUGCGGCCAGUGGUGCGGAGACCGGGGAUGAGCCUUGCGGAGGGGGUGCGGCGACAAACUGUGUAAGACACCUCCUGGUGCUGUGAGCAUGAGAGAUGCCCCCCCCCCCACACACACACACACACACACACACACACACACACACACACACACUUAUGUACUACAGAUCCUGUAAAUACAUAUGUGUCUUUAUGUACCAUGGUAUUGUACUUAUUGUAAGGAGGGCUGUUUCACUCACUCUCUUACUGGCUUUUGUUGACCGCUUGUCCGGGUCAGGGUCACGGUCAUCCGGAGCCUGUCCUGGAAUCACUGCGCACAAGGCUGGGUGGGGGAGACACCCGUCCAUCACAAAUGUCUGUUUCUUUAUAUUUAAUAAAAAUAUUAUGAAAAAAAGUAAUAAAAAGCCAACAGUCACUGACAUUGGGUCCACAACUCGUCAGUUCACACGCUGCCAUAUCGUCACACAUGAAGACGCGUCACACCUGUUCCGUGUCGCCUCCCUCCUCCAAUCAGCAGCCCUCCAGCCUGGGCUGCCGGCGGUCCAGCCUGGAUGUGGCGUACGAGGCGGCCGAGUCGGUGAGAGUGCAGCGCGCCUGUCGCCUCCGCCCCCACUUCAGCGACCCGAUGCCCACCGACGGCGCCAAGCGCAAGCAGCUGGAGCUGAAGAUGGCAGCAGCGGCCGCCUUCCUCCAUCGGCAGCAGAGGACUGGGAGCGGCUCUGGCAAGAGCCGCUCGGAGACCACCGUGGGGGCCGAGGAUGUGGCUCUGGGCGUCGUGGCCAAGACGGGGCAGCACCGCUGGAGCAACGUGAGCAGCCUGAGUGCGGACAGCGGGGUGGUGGGGCUCAGCGACGAGCGCGAGGAGGACGAAGUGCACCGGCAGAACCACUCGGCAACUUCCGAGGUGGAACGUGUGGACAGCGGCAUUGGCUCUGGACUGGCCCGGCACUGGGGGCCACCGG
rnacentral:lncRNA from 1 species